AUGGCAUCUCGUAGACAUGACAUUCUCAUUCCUAAUCUCUUCAUCAGUACCAGAAGGCACUAUAUCAUCAACAGCCGAGGGCUGUGUGGGGAAGAGGGCUUGCAAAUGCCUCCCACAGAAAUCCUGCUUUCUCACUUAAGAGCUAAAAGAUUCCUAUUGUUUUGAAAAACCUGAAGUUUAACAUUGCUCAAAAAGCAGCAUAAAACAAACUAACACACAGAAAAUCCAGCUUUUUUCAUAUAAAUAGAAUGUAAGUAAAUCCCAAAGACAAAUUGUAGCUAAGACAAUGCAAUACAACUAUGAUGUUAUUUCUGUGAAAUAUUUGUAAAUAUCUUCACUUCAGUAUAGACAACAAAGCUAAAAUUCAAUUAUGUAUCCAAAAGGAUAAAAGAGAAACAAGUCGAUAGAAAAGGGAAGAAAAUGAAAAUGUAAUUUAAAAAGCAAGAAAGUAC
rnacentral:lncRNA from 1 species